rnacentral:rRNA from 1 species
GACGAACGCUGGCGGCGUGCUUAACACAUGCAAGUCGAACGGAAAGGCCCUGCUUUUGUGGGGUGCUCGAGUGGCGAACGGGUGAGUAACACGUGAGUAACCUGCCCUUGACUUUGGGAUAACUUCAGGAAACUGGGGCUAAUACCGGAUAGGAGCUCCUGCUGCAUGUUGGGGGUUGGAAAGUUUCGGCGGUUGGGGAUGGACUCGCGGCUUAUCAGCUUGAUGGUGGGGUAGUGGCUUACCACGGCUUUGACGGGUAGCCGGCCUGAGAGGGUGACCGGCCACAUUGGGACUGAGGUACGGCCCAGACUCCUACGGGAGGCAGCAGUGGGGAAUAUUGCACAAUGGGCGGAAGCCUGAUGCAGCAACGCCGCGUGCGGGAUGACGGCCUUCGAGUUGUAAACCGAUUUCGCCUGUGACGAAGCGUGAGUGACGGUAAUGGGUAAAGAAGCACCGGCUAACUACGUG